CUGUAUUUUGGCUGGCUUGCGCCACAUAUUCGCCAUCUUUUCGUCACAAAUUUUCACUAUGAUGGGAACAUCAGACGCCAUCUUGAAGCACGAAACAACCAAUCGGCGAUGAGAAAUCUACCCACGUGAUGUACGUUUCCAAUCCAGUCUUCUACUAUCCAUGGUAAAGGCGAAUACUAAGGAAAUCUGUGAAGAAAUAUCCUUUCCUGCUUGUUUUUCAAAAAAAUGCUGACGUCUGCUUUUUUGUUGAGAUUCAAGGCUAAUAGGGCAUUUUCGAGUUGUCUUUUGCCUCCGUAACAAAAGGAGUCUGCGAAACCACUCAUAUGGAAAUGUGUUCUCCUCCUGCAGGUUCAUUUUCAUGUGAAUCAAACUUAUUUUCAUAUGAAAGGUUUUGGACGAAGGCUCGUUUUGAAACAGAUUCACCAGUUAACUCAGAAAUCACCUAUCAUCUCGGGAAAAUGCGUUGCUACCCCCAAUUUUUUGUGUGAGAUACAACACUAUUGUCAUCGGCUCGUGUCCAUUAAUGCAAAUGAGUUGCAAAGAUUGCAUUGCAUUCUGGAUCUACGUAUUCUACACAUAUACCCUUUGGGUAUCUAUUUUUUUUUGUGGAUUCCAGUAGCCCUGUAAAGAUCUACUUUUUUCGCAUGGUCCUAAUCUGGCUCAAAAACCUUUGUAUUUAGGAGGCACCGUCCUUAAACAAGGUCCCUAAACGAGGUCCGUUUCAUAUUUUCAUGACUUGGAACAAUUUCCUUAUCAUGUUAUUGUGCCCUGAAUGAAAGUCCCUAUCAUGCUCUCAUGACUAAAACAAGAUGCCUAUUGUCAUCAUUCCCCUAAAUAUGUCUCUAGUAAAGUUAACACACCACAAAAUAAGACCUAUGGUGUUCUUUUUUACCCAUCCAUGUUCCUGAGGAAGUCAUAGUUGUUCACCUGGGUCUGUGGGAUACCAAAUGUCCUACUUAAGAUAGUGCUUUUGUCAUUUUUCAGACUAUGAUGAGUGCAGCAAUAAAGAGUAUGAGUGUCAAAGGCAUACUACCUGUUUGAAUACAGUUGGCUCCUACAAGUGCCAGUGUACACUGGGUUUCUUUCACAGUGGACCAUAUUGUAUUGAUUUGAACGAGUGUCUGGGUAAACAACACAAUUGUGACGUCAAUGCAUGGUGUAUAAACACCGCUGGCUCGUAUAGGUGUUUCUGUAAAAAGGGGUAUCGUGGAGACGGCAUCAAGUGUGUGAAACAAGAAACGCCUUACUGUGAGGCAGAAGAUGAAAACUGUGAAAGGUAGAUACAGGCUACAUAGCAAAUACAGAAAGUGCUAACAAGCAAUUAUUUGUAGCAAGCGUGGCUGAAUAGGAAGAGAAUCCGGUGCUAUGCAGCUGCAAGGUCCCCCAACGAAAACUCUGACUCGUACAGACACGCAGGAGAAAAAUCUAUCUCCAUGUACACGACAAAAAACGAGAGAAAAGAGAUCAUUAAUAAUCAAACAAACAUUUUAUCGGCACUUUAAUGUCGUUGACAAACGCCCAGAGCAGUUGCCGUCGUGAAAGUGUCAGGGAGCUUAAGCAAUGACGACGGCGACACCAAGGACAACGGCUGGAAAAAAGUGAAUUUAAAUUUUACCUUUUAAAUUCGCAAUUUACUAGAACUGUUCAGAACGCCGAGUGGUCUAAAUUCCUACUUAAAGUAAAGAUGUUACGCCAGCGAUUAAUUCCAGAAGAAUAUACGAAAAAUUACCCGUCGUGGCUCGCGUUCUUCGAAAUACCCAGAACUGGGUCAUUUCACGUUGCUGUUUUGCAGAGGACGGCAGAGAAAUGUACAAAGAUAUAUAACGCACGUGCGCAGCCAUUGUUCUGCUCGAUAAAGCUUUGUUUGGUGAAGUUCUCGUUGCCGUCGUGGUUUGCUUAAGCUCCCUUGUAACGUAAUUUAUCAGUGGUGUGAUACGUUUUGUGUAACAUAACAUGGCAGGAACAUUAUGUGGCAAAGCACUUUUAACAAAGCUGUAGUCGUGUUUCUGCUUUUAAUGGAACUUCACUUAAACUUCACCUUUUGGUUAUGUUGUCAUAAGAUAAAAGAAAGAACUCGAAAAAUGUCGCGUUCUUACGUGAUGUACUUGUUUCUAGACUGUUUUGAAACCUUCAGUGGUGCCUGCCUUGAGAGAGUUUGUCCUUGAUGGUUCUUAAAUGUCAAUAGUUA
rnacentral:lncRNA from 1 species